rnacentral:lncRNA from 1 species
UGGGCACUUAAUUGAUAAGUGCUACAAGAUACAUGGGUUCCCUCAAAGCAUAAAUUACAACAAGGGAAGGAAAUCUGCAGCUGCUCAUGUCUCCAUUGGUGUUGAAUGUGUGUUUGUUAAUCAUGAGAAUCCUAAUUUGUCUGAUCCUCUUGGGGAUCCAUCUGCCAGCCACAUAGAUGGUCAUAGUUCUGUGAUACCAGGGUUGAGCAGACAUCACUAUGAUCAAUUGAUGAGCCUGUUGCAACAGACCAAGUUAGGGGAUUCCAGUGGUCAAGCUCCUCCUCCCAUGUGUGCUGCUAAUUUUGNNN